rnacentral:rRNA from 1 species
UGGGGAAUUUUGGACAAUGGGCGCAAGCCUGAUCCAGCCAUUCCGCGUGAGUGAAGAAGGCCUUCGGGUUGUUAGGCUCUUUCGCCAGGGAAGCCAACUUAGCCACUAACAUUGGCUGAGGUUGACGGUACCUUGAUAAGAAGCUCCGGCUAACUCCGUGCCAGCAGCCGCGGUAAU